GUCACGGAUUUUGAUAAUGGUUUUAAAUGUUCAUUGUCAAUGCAUAUGUUUCAAAGUAUGCUAUUUAAUAUUAUAUGUUUAUAUAUUUUAUAUGUGGUUUAUAUAAUACGCACCCACACACAGUUUUAUUAAGAUUCUUGUAGAUAUCAAAAUUAUGUAGCUAAUAAUUAUAAGCUUAUGUACAUGCACCCAAUAAACAUUGAUCUUGUAUACCUAAGUCUCAGACUUAGUGCUUAAGAUUUUCUAUAUUAUCAAAAUCUUUGUGUAAUUUAAAGAUUGAUAUUCCUUCUUAUAAAUGGAAUAAGGUAUAUUUAAACCUGGUUACAGAGCAAUUUUAUAUAAUUUAUAUCAGGUCACAGCCAGCUGAUGAAGAUCCUCAGCUUAUACAGAGGUCAGGCUUGAGCUAUGUGCUGAUUCAAAAGAUGCUAAUGACAGUGGAUAAUCCAUUCUGAGCUGUUCUAGGACCAUUCACCAAGGUUCCAAAACACUGAUGGGUCUGAAGGCAGUACCUGUAUUGGUGUCUGGUCUGUGAUUUCAAGUAUAAUUGAUGUACCUCCUCCUGAUGUAUCUCCUCGAGACACUAAACUACUGAAAAGGUGCACAGGGGACAUUUUUGUGUGUAUAGACUUUCAUCAAGAUUCUGAGAAAGUUGAUUUAUCAAACAAAAAUAGUCAGAUUGUGUCUUCAAAGCUGAAAAGAUUUAAGAUCUUAGGAAAACAUUAGAACUCAAGAAAAGUAAUGGGGUUAUGAAACUGUAGUGUUCAACAUUUAAAUUGUUUUUUGUUUUUUUUUUCACUACAUUUUGUGAAGAGGGUUCCAUCACAAGAUGCGAAAUAUUGCCUGAUAUUGGUAAGAAUGAGAUGUAGUUUAUGAAAAAAAAGUAUUUUGCUUUAAAUGUGCAGACUUUAAGUUACAUAAAAAAUCAAAGCUCUAACAAUAAAGCUUGAUUAAAAAGACACACUGUUGAAAACUAGCCUUCAUGUAAAUGUCACACUGUUUUGGGUGCACAGGGGACACAAUUAGCUAUAUAAUUUAAUAUAACUUUAACCCUUAGGCCCUUGCUAAAUUUCUAUAAUGAACUUGUACGUUUUACAAUUUGGACAGUAUUAUUAAGUGUUAAAAGGGGUGCUAACCAAAAGAUACUGACUGAAUGGCGAACAGUGCAGAUAAAGAUCAGACUGCACAGAUGUGCAGGCUUAUCAUGAUCUACACUUGUUGCAAAGGUAGGACCAACCAUGUACAGCAUGGUAAGGGUUAAAACUGCUUGAGCCAUUCAGCUGAAAUUGCAAACAUUUGUUGACUACAUUGAUUGGAUAUAUGUAAUUUGCCCCAAAACACUUUAUAAAACUGAACUGAAUUAAAAUAAGGUGAGAGAGAAGAAAAAGCUUAAUUAUUUAAAAAAAAAAACUAUAGCCGAUAGAUAUAUAUUGUUGAAGGCAUUAUCUUUGUUUACAUUAAAUUUAAAUGUGGCUGCCACGUUGUUUGUUAGGAACAUGAGACACAUUAAUUUCUUGUUUUCGAAUUUUAAUUAUCGCAUUUAUGUGUCAAAGAUUGGCAUGGGUGAAAAUGUUACUGAAAAUAUUAAAUCAGUUUUUAUUGAUUAACUCCUUUUUUGGCUUGUGCAGUAUAAAGUCAUGUGCAUCAUUGAAAGUAUAAUAUAGUACUUUUCUAACCAACUGAUAAACAUUCUAUUUUUGGAAAGUUUGCUGCAUAAAGUUAAAGGGUUUUUUUGUAUGAAAUUUAGAUGGUGUAGGCCUUAAAGCUGUUUACUUUAAAAACCUCCUUGUAUCAUUUCUAAUGUUUUCUCUUUUAAUUGACCCUGAGUGGCAGUUCUUGUUAACUACAAAACCAUCUAUUAUUAUUGGUUAACUAAUUAUUGGAAUAGUGAUCAUUUUAACAUUGUUUCAUCACAUUGCACUCCUUUAUGGGAAUAGGUAGGCAAUAGCACAUUUAACUAUUAAACUAUUUAUCAAACUAUGUCAUUUGAAUGAAAACAGCCUUAGACACACCUGAAAAUCAGAUAAAUUUGAAAAUACAUGCAGAUUUUUAAAAAUGUUUUUGGAUUUAAGUUAUAACAUUUUCUUAUUUUUAUCUUCAGUUGGUUAUUAAUGCAACUGAUUGUUUUUUAUCAACAUCUGUUGUCAGGUGUGUUUCGUCCCAAUUUAAUUUUGUGACCCAUACAGUGUUUCCAGGACUCAUCAGUAAGAGAAACACCAUCAACUUGAGUCAACAACAUAACUUUUAACAUGUGAACAGAAGUUAAUUAUAAACAUUUUCAUAGGAAGAAUAGUGAACUGGAACAGUAAAUGAAAAUUUAAAAGAAAUGAAAAUGAUAACCUGUACACUUUGGCAUUUCAUAGUUAUUUUUAAAAAAUCAAAUUUAUCUGAGAAGACAAUGACAGUGAAAUAUAAAAUUUUACUUAAAAUUAUUGUUGUAAAUCAUACUGAAAUCUAACAACUUACUGGUAAUAUAAAUUUUAUCAAUAGCAUAGAGUAAAGAUUUUCUGAUAUUUUUGGAAAGAUUUGAAAAACAUUGUACUUUAAAUGUUCAACCAAUAUUUUAGAUCAAAUUAUGAAAUGCCAUAUUUAUUUAUAAAUGAAUAAAACUGUUGUCAACUUAUAAAAAAUUCUGUUAACUUUAAUAAAUUAUUAGAACUUAAA